GAUGAACGCUGGCGGCGUGCCUAAUACAUGCAAGUCGAGCGAACGGACGAGAAGCUUGCUUUUCUGAUGUUAGCGGCGGACGGGUGAGUAACACGUGGAUAACCUACCUAUAAGACUGGGAUAACUUCGGGAAACCGGAGCUAAUACCGGAUAAUAUUUUGAACCGCAUGGUUCAAAAGUGAAAGACGGUCUUGCUGUCACUUAUAGAUGGAUCCGCGCUGCAUUAGCUAGUUGGUAAGGUAACGGCUUACCAAGGCAACGAUGCAUAGCCGACCUGAGAGGGUGAUCGCCCACACUGGAACUGAGACGCGGUCCAGACGCCUACGGGAGGCAGCAGUAGGGAAUCGUCCGCAGUGGGCGAAAGCCUGACGGAGCAACGCCGCGUGAGUGAUGAAGGUCUUCGGAUCGUAAAACUCUGUUAUUAGGGAAGAACAUAUGUGUAAGUAACUGUGCACAUCGUGACGGUACCUAAUCAGAAAGCCACGGCUAACUACGUG
rnacentral:rRNA from 1 species